rnacentral:rRNA from 1 species
ACGCUGGCGGCAGGCUUAACUCAUGCAAGUCGAACGGUAACAGGGAUUAGCUUGCUAAUCUGCUGACGAGUGGCGGACGGGUGAGUAAUGCUUGGGAAUCUGGCUUAUGGAGGGGGAUAACUACGGGAAACUGUAGCUAAUACCGCGUAAAAUCUUCGGAUUAAAGGGUGGGACUUUCGAGCCACCUGCCAUAAGAUGAGCCCAAGUGGGAUUAGGUAGUUGGUUAGGUAAAGGCUGACCAAGCCGACGAUCUCUAGCUGGUCUGAGAGGAUGACCAGCCACACUGAAACUGAGACACGGUCCAGACUCCUACGGGAGGCAGCAGUGGGGAAUAUUGCACAAUGGGGGGAACCCUGAUGCAGCCAUGCCGCGUGAAUGAAGAAGGCCUUCGGGUUGUAAAGUUCUUUCGGUGACGAGGAAGGUUGAUAGGUUAAUAGCCUAUCAAAUUGACGUUAAUCACAGAAGAAGCACCGGCUAACUCCGUGCCAGCAGCCGCGGUAAUACGGGGGGUGCGAGCGUUAAUCGGAAUAACUGGGCGUAAAGGGCACGCAGGCGGUGACUUAAGUGAGAUGUGAAAGCCCCGAGCUUAACUUGGGAAUUGCAUUUCAUACUGGGUCGCUAGAGUACUUUAGGGAGGGGUAGAAUUCCACGUGUAGCGGUGAAAUGCGUAGAGAUGUGGAGGAAUACCGAAGGCGAAGGCAGCCCCUUGGGAAUGUACUGACGCUCAUGUGCGAAAGCGUGGGGAGCAAACAGGAUUAGAUACCCUGGUAGUCCACGCUGUAAACGAUGUCGAUUUGGGGAUUGGGCUUUGAGCUUGGUGCCCGUAGCUAACGUGAUAAAUCGACCGCCUGGGGAGUACGGCCGCAAGGUUAAAACUCAAAUGAAUUGACGGGGGCCCGCACAAGCGG